AUAGAUAGCUGUUGUCUUAAUUCUUCCUUGAUACGAAGUGGCGCACACCCCAGUUCACACUGUAACAAGAGGCUGGACCCAAAAAUUACCUCUGUGCCUUCGGUCAGCCGAUACCGGGACCACCACCAGCUCCUGCCCAGCCUCCUCUGAAAAGCCUGCAAGGUAAAUGCUCUUUGGAAUUUGUUGGCUGACCUUCUUUUUAAGCCAAGAAAACAGAAACUGAACUGAACCUUAUGAUGAGGAGAGAAAGAAGGGCAAAGAAAAGGCUGAAGGUGGCGUGUGUAAAAGCCUCAAAGCCGAAGGAGAGGCAGCUCCUGCAGAAGAAAAAGUCUGCUGGCCAAGGCAACAGUCAUGGGUGCAACAAAUUGUCUCGUUGGAGUGGACCAAGAAUUAUUUUCUGUCAAAAUUUGGGCUAGUUGCAUACUUUAUGUAUGUGUGUGUAUGUGUGUUUAAAGGGUAUUUUGUUUUUACCUCCAAAU